rnacentral:rRNA from 1 species
AAUCGAACCCGGAGAUAGCUGGUUCUCCUCGAAAUAGCUUUAGGGCUAGCCUCAUGGAUCAUUGGUGGGGGUAGAGCACUGAAUGUGCGCGGGGGCCACAAAGCCUACCAAACGCUAUCAAACUUCGAAUACCAUACAAUGCAGACCAUGGGAGUCAGUCCGCGAGAGAUAAGUUCCGCGGGCAAAAGGGGAACACCCCAGAUCAACCGCUAAGGUCCCCAAGUUCACGUUAAGUGGAGAAGGAUGUGGAAUUGCACAGACAACCAGGAUGUUGGCUCAGAAGCAGCCACACAUUUAAAGAGUGCGUAAUAGCUCACUGGUCGAGUGAUUGUGCGCCGAAGAUGUCCGGGGCUAAACGUGACACCGAAGCGAUGGGUGCAUCUGAAAGGAUGCGCGGUAGAGGAGCAAUGUGCAGAGGCAGAAGCCGUAUCGAGAGGCACGGUGGACACUGCACAAGAGAGAAUGCCGGUAUGAGUAGCGAGAGGCAUGCGAGAAACAUGCCCGUCGAAAGCCCAAGGUUUCCUGGGGAAGGUUCAUCCGCCCAGGGUAAGUCGGGGCCUAAGCCGAGGACGGAAGUCGUAGGCGAUGGACAGCAGGUGUAGAUUCCUGCACUACCGAUGGAAUGAAGCAGUGACACAGAAGGAUAACUCGAGCAGGGUGAUGGUCAACCCUGUGCAAGCAUCAAGGUUGGGUUGUAGUGAAGUACGCAACCCUAUAAGCUGAGAUGUGAUGCGGACCGAAAUUUCAGUAGGGAAGCGAGUGAGUUCACGCUGGCGAGAAAAGCUGCUAGUAUAUCCAAAGGUACCCGUACCGGAAACCGACGCAGGUGGGCGAGGAGAGAAUCCUGAGACGAACGGGAGAACCCUUGUUAAGGAACUCGGCAAAAUGACCCCGUAACUUCGGGAGAAGGGGUGCCUCGAAAGAGGCCGCAGAGAAUAGUCACAAGCGACUGUUUAGCAAAAACACAGGUAUCUGCGAAAGCGAGAGCUGACGUAUAGGUGCUGACACCUGCCCGGUGCUGGAAGGUUAAGGGAACAUGUUAGAGCAAUCGAAGCAUCGAACCGAAGCCCCAGUAAACGGCGGCCGUAACAAUAACGGUCCUAAGGUAGCGAAAUUCCUUGUCGGGUAAGUUCCGACCCGCACGAAUGGUGUAACGACUUGUGAGCUGUCUCAACAGGGGGCCCGGUGAAAUUGAAGUAUGGGUGAAGAUGCCCAUUACCCGCGACUGGACGGAGAGACCCCGUAGAGCUUUACUGCAGCCUGAUAUUGAGUUUCGGUAACUGAUGCACAGGAUAGGUGGGAGUCUGAGAGACAUGGGUUUCGGCUCAUGAGGAGACGCUGUUGGGAUACCACUCUUCGGUUACUGAAAUUCUAACAUAGCUCUGUGAAACCAGAGGAUGGACAGUGUCAGGUGGACAGUUUGACUGGGGCGGUCGCCUCCGAAAGAGUAACGGAGGCGCCCAAAGGU